rnacentral:lncRNA from 1 species
UUUUUUUUCUUUUUUUAAGAGUUUAUUUUUAAAUAAUCACUACACCCGAUGCAGGACUCAAACUCACAACCCUGAGAUCGAGAGUCACACGCUCUACUGACUGAGCCAGCCAGGCACCCCAGUAUUUUUUUUAAUGCAUCAUCCGUUGCGACCAAUUUUUUUUUAGACCUUUUAAACGUCAGGCUUUAUAUCCUUUCUUUUUCAUCAACUACAAAGGUAACCUACACUCAUUACAGAAAUUUCAAACAGUAUACAAAUAUAACUCAGAAAGUAAAAGUCCUUCAUAAUUCCACUCUCCAGAGAUAACCAUUGUUAAUAGCUUUGUUUAUUCUUCAAAUUUGGAAUGAAUAUACUAAUUAAAUUAUAUGCAUUGCAGAUUUAUUAUAUAGAAAAUGUUAAGUUUUUUAAGAGAAAUAGGAUCGACCAUUCUACAUAUACAGUGUUCUGCAAGCUGCAUUUCUUCAACCUCUGAAUAUAUAUCUUGAAAAUCUUCUCCUGUCAGUAGACUUAGAUCUACAUCACUCUUUUUAAUGGCUACAAAGUAUUCUAUUAUAUGGACAGACCAUAAUUUAUGUCACCAGUCUCUAAAAGACAGACAUUUGGGUUGGCUUCCAAUUUUUUGCUGUUAAAACAAUGCAGCAGUUACAUCCUUCUGUAUAUAUGUUUAAAAUAUUUCUGUAAGCUGAAUUCUGUCAAACAGGUUUUUGUUUGGGGUCAUAGAAUACGCUGAACUUUUUUUUUUCCAAUUAUCCACUUAACUUUAAUUCAUACUACCAAAAAUCUUCAAGGUAGCAAUUGCUGUAAUUGCUUAAUUAUUUUGAUUUUCAUCUUUAAUACUUUUUUGAAAAUAAUUUAUUCUACUCAAAAUUAAUUGCAUAGGUAUUAAAUCAAAAGGUAUGUUUUAACACAUUCCUGAUUAGUUAUUAGAAAAUAUGCAUUGUCCACACUCUACAUAAAAAUAUCCCAAUUUUAAGAAAUUUCACGUAUCCCAAAAAUCAUUGAAAAACAAGUCAUAAGUCUCACAUUAGAAUCUGGGAGUUCUUCUUUGACUCCAAUAGAUUCACUAUAAUCACAGUUUUGUCUGUCUUCAAAAAGGGAGGGAGAUAUGCAAGGAUCCCCAUCACACAGGUAGCUUCAAAAUCCAACCCCAAAAAGCCUACCAAAUUGUCACUCCUAAACAAGUGCAUAAGAAACUCAAAUACAAAAAGUCAUGACAUUCAGAGUCUGGUUUCCAGUAAAUUACCCAGGACACAUUUCAUGGCAAACAAAAUACUUGCCGAGAAAUACAGUUACCAGGGCAACCAUAACUGACCUUUUAUGUUUUAUUUAUCAAUAGUAUUGCUAAAUUAUUCUCAUUCUUGGAAACAAAGGAGAAAAAUGUAUUAUAAACAAUGAUAAUUAAUUAAGGGUCCCCUGCUCCACAGUGAAUCACUCCUGCCAAAUCUGUGUUUAUCCAACAGACGUGCUGUUGUCUGCUUCUCGUCUAGGCUAAGGAUGGAGAUAGCAGAUCCCAAGAAGGCAUGCACCAGUUACUGAUACUAAACCUGAAACUCGGGAUCCCUGGGUGGUGCAGCGGUUUAGCGCCUGCCUUUGGCCCAGGGCGCGAUCCUGGAGACCCGGGAUUGAAUCCCACAUCGGGCUCCCGGUGCAUGGAGCCUGCUUCUCCCUCUGCCUAUGUCUCUGCCUCUCUCUCUCUCUCUCUCUCUCUGUGAUUAUCAUAAAUAAAUAAAAAUUAAAAAAAAAAUAAACCUGAAACUCUACAUGGAAAGAACGUGAGAGUCCGUUCUCAACAGACAUUCGGACACAUAGGGGAACAGGUGUUCCCUUCACAACACCUGGCACUUAGUAGGUAGUUACUCUCGAAAUAUGGAAUAAAUAUAUGAACCUUAAAACAAACAGAUGCAUAAUGAAUAAAUCCACCUAUCUUUCAAAUUUGUAAGACUAAAAAUCCCAAACCUUUCACCAUUUAAGAUCUACCCUUUUAUGAGUUCCAAAUAUUCUCAUCUAAUCAAAUAUCUCCAUUUAGAAAAACAUACUUUUUGUUUUAGCAGCCCAGCAUAUGGCCAUACCUGCUCGACCUCAACAGAGAGAAGGGGAAACAUAGCUGGGAGAGAAAGAAAAUCAUAUAGAAUUCCCGGUGUCCAAAAGAGGACAUUAAGAGCAUUUAUAAUGAAUUGGAUUUAUUCAUAAUCCUUAUCAAGGAGGCAGCAGGGUACAGGGAAGAGAGCCCUGGGCUGCAAAUCAGAAGCCUGGAGCUUGGUCCUGGCCUUGGAUUUAAUGACUAAGUCCCUUCAAUUUUCAGACUCUCACUGCCCUCAUUUACAAGAUAAGGAGGUUAGUCUGUGUGACCUCCCAAGUCCCUCUAGCUCUAAAUGUCCGUGACAUACUGACCUGCCUUCCAUCUCAACGAGAAAAGCUUAUCAAGGACACCUCCAGAGGGAAGCAUCUACCUAGGAAAGAGGAGAACCCAGGCCACCGCCCCAGCUAGGCCAAUGGGCAGUGAUCACUACAGCUCAUCAGCCAAAGUAUUUUGGCUCCCCCCUGUGUCCAUCCAUCCUCUGCUGGCACAACCUGAGCCCCGUCCCCGCUUUCCCAAGGAGCUGCACCACAUGCAAUCUAACUCACACCCACCCUUGCUCUCAAGCCCUCCUCCGCCCCAUUCCCUCUGUCAAGGGAGAAAACAGGGUCUCUUCUCCUCCCAGCCUUCCUCAUGUGGUGCUUGCUUCCUCAACGACCAACUCUCACUUCUUUAUCUUCUAUCUCCCUCAGCAUCACCUCCUUCUUUAAAAAAAAAAAAAAAAAGGUUUUAUUUACUUAUUUGAGAGAGAGAGAACACAGGGGAGGAGGGCAGAGGGAGAGGUAGCAGCAGACUCACCGCUGAGCAGGGAGCCUGAUGUGGGCCUCAAUCCCAGGACCUGGAUCAUGACCUGAGCCAAAGGCAGAUGCCCAAACAAUUGAGCCACCCAGGCGCCCAUAUUACCUUCUAUUAUAUAUAUAUAUAUAAUAUAUAUAUAUACACAUAUUUUCAAGUCUAUUUUAAAUACAUAUAUAUUUUUUAAUCCCCCUCAAUCUUACACCUCCUAUUUCCACUUCC